GGUUAUUGGCCCCCUUGGGAUUGGGACCCGGCCCAAAUUCUUCGGGAGGCAGCAGUAGGGAUUCUUCCCCAAUGGACGAAAGUCUGAUGGAGCAACGCCGCGUGAGUGAAGAAGGGUUUCGGCUCGUAAAACUCUGUUGUUAAAGAAGAACAUAUCUGAGAGUAACUGUUCAGGUAUUGACGGUAUUUAACCAGAAAGCCACGGCUAACUACGUGCCAGCAGCCGCGGUAAUACGUAGGUGGCAAGCGUUGUCCGGAUUUAUUGGGCGUAAAGCGAGCGCAGGCGGUUUUUUAAGUCUGAUGUGAAAGCCUUCGGCUCAACCGAAGAAGUGCAUCGGAAACUGGGAAACUUGAGUGCAGAAGAGGACAGUGGAACUCCAUGUGUAGCGGUGAAAUGCGUAGAUAUAUGGAAGAACACCAGUGGCGAAGGCGGCUGUCUGGUCUGUAACUGACGCUGAGGCUCGAAAGUAUGGGUAGCAAACAGGAUUAGAUACCCUGGUAGUCCAUACCGUAAACGAUGAAUGCUAAGUGUUGGAGGGUUUCCGCCCUUCAGUGCUGCAGCUAACGCAUUAAGCAUUCCGCCUGGGGAGUACGGCCGCAAGGCUGAAACUCAAAGGAAUUGACGGGGGCCCGCACAAGCGGUGGAGCAUGUGGUUUAAUUCGAAGCUACGCGAAGAACCUUACCAGGUCUUGACAUACUAUGCAAAUCUAAGAGAUUAGACGUUCCCUUCGGGGACAUGGAUACAGGUGGUGCAUGGUUGUCGUCAGCUCGUGUCGUGAGAUGUUGGGUUAAGUCCCGCAACGAGCGCAACCCUUAUUAUCAGUUGCCAGCAUUAAGUUGGGCACUCUGGUGAGACUGCCGGUGACAAACCGGAGGAAGGUGGGGAUGACGUCAAAUCAUCAUGCCCCUUAUGACCUGGGCUACACACGUGCUACAAUGGAUGGUACAACGAGUUGCGAACUCGCGAGAGUAAGCUAAUCUCUUAAAGCCAUUCUCAGUUCGGAUUGUAGGCUGCAACUCGCCUACAUGAAGUCGGAAUCGCUAGUAAUCGCGGAUCAGCAUGCCGCGGUGAAUACGUUCCCGGGCCUUGUACACACCGCCCGUCACACCAUGAGAGUUUGUAACACCCAAAGUCGGUGGGGUAACCUUUUAAGGAACCAGCCGCCUAAGGUGGGACAGAUGAUUAGGGUGAAGUCGUAACAAGGUAGCCGUAGGAGAACCUG
rnacentral:rRNA from 1 species